rnacentral:tmRNA from 1 species
GGCUUAAAAUCAUUUAACAUUUCAGUUCCAGACGCUCCGAGCGAAAUAGUAGAAACACCAGAAGGUAUUAAAAUGGUCGUAAACUAAAUAAACGAUAAAGCGGCACUCUUAGAAUAAUCUUAGAAUUUAUAGAUUAUUCUUUAAAUAACAAGAUAGUCCCUAUUUAGCAAGAUAUACUAGAAGUCUUCCGUCUGCAGACUUCUAGAAGAACUUAAUCAGACUAGCAUGAAUUGUGGAACGUUCUCUUCCGGCGUUCAUGCGAAACUUUAAUUGAGAACUACACACGUAGAAAGAAGUGUAGCAAGAUCCUUGGACGCGGGUUCGACUCCCGCC